UACGAAGGGUGCAAGCGUUACUCGGAAUUACUGGGCGUAAAGCGUGCGUAGGCGGUUCGUUAAGUCUGUCGUGAAAGCCCUGGGCUCAACCUGGGAAUUGCGAUGGAUACUGGCGAGCUAGAGUACGGUAGAGGAUGGUGGAAUUCCCGGUGUAGCGGUGAAAUGCGUAGAGAUCGGGAGGAACACCCGUGGCGAAGGCGGCCAUCUGGACCAGCACUGACGCUGAGGCACGAAAGCGUGGGGAGCAAACAGG
rnacentral:rRNA from 1 species